rnacentral:lncRNA from 1 species
AUCAAACCCAAACUAAGUCGGACUGAAUCUAAUUUAAUGAGACUUGAUCCAAAGCUCUUUGUUCAAUCUAAUUGAGUCAAUUAGCAAUCUAAUUACUAAAAAAUUCUCUAUUAAUAGUAGAGUUUUAGUCCAGUGGGACUCUCUUCUCGAGUCCAAUCUCAGUGGGACUCUUCACUAGAGUCACAAUCCAAUUUGACUCUUCAGCCAUCAGAUCUGACCUAAUCUUCUAAUGUGUGUGACCUCAUAUAUUCGAAUCUA